rnacentral:piRNA from 1 species
UCGUCGCGCUCGGAUGCAGGCAUGNUUCCC